GAUUGAUACGCAAUGCAUUUGUGCAUGGGCGUGGAAAAUUGCAUCGAAAGAUAGGAGCUACUUCUCUGGAAGAAUAUUUUCAUCAGUUAUUUCCAACACUCCCACUUGUUCUUCAUCAAAUAAUCAGAAAUCAUCCCUCCUGGAAAACACACCCUACCUUCAAGGAGUUUUUCCCUGUGAUAAACCGUCACAUAGUGUCCGAUGCAGACUAAAGCAGUCAGGUUCGUAUAUUUCAUUAUGGUUUUCAGUAUUCCUUUA